rfam:Cerapachys biroi unplaced genomic scaffold scaffold64, whole genome shotgun sequence.
CAACCGGCCCUUUUCAGGGCCACAAGGUGUGCAAAUCCGAUCAG